GAAGCAAAUUUAGUUGAUUACAAAAACUAUCAUAGUCUAGAGAUAGCCAUAGGCAAGGCUGAGUGACAGAGGGACUAAAGGAGGUUCCUGGAUCUUUCUUUGGGCUUCAGAUGUGACUGUAGAGAGCUCUUCCUGGGGAAAGCUGAUGGGACCUGGGCAAGGAUCCCAGCCCUCUGCUGGCCUCAUAGGCUGAGUGACUGAUUUAGAGUGCUUGGGGUCAGUAUGAAUUAGAGAGAUUCAACUCAUCUAUUUGCUGAUCCAGCUCAUCUAUUGGCUCUAUAGUGAUGUGUAUAUUACUGACUUUUCUCAGUUUUACAUGAGGCCCAUUGAAGGCCUGUCCUGAAGUUCUGCCUUCAACAGUGCUAGUGUCAUAACCACCAUGGAGAAGUUGAAGGUAGCAUAGAGUGCUUGAGAAAUAGAGCCAAAUGUAGCUACUGGUUGUAGCAACUACUGCAGUCUUCUUAGCUACAGAGAAGCCAUGACUGCUCCUGUGCUGCUCAUCAACAUUUCAGUUACAAAGUGAACCCAACUCCAUGCCCAGUUCAGUUACAAAGUUGGAGACAGAGUUGUGCCUACUUACAGAGAUGGGGUCUUGCUAUGCUGCCCAGGCUGGUCUAAAAUUCCUGUCCUCAAGCAGUCCUCCUGUCUUGGCCUCCCAAAGUGGCUCAAAUGUUUCCUAGACUCUUAAACUUGACAUCGUCACUUCUGAAGCAUAGAAAAGGCACAGAGCGAUAAAAUGAUUUUUAAAAAAGGCAUCAUCCAAGUUCUUGAUAGUGAAGCAAUGAGACAGAUACAAUGUAACAACAUCUUUAAAGUGCUGAAUGAUCAUACCUGUCCAUCUGGAAUUCUACAUCCUGCUAAAAUAUCCUUCAAAAAUGAAAAUAAAGGCUGACCUGCUAACGGUAUAUUAAAGGAACAUUUUCAGACCAAAGAAAAUAAAACUAAGUACGAACUCAGAUCAACAGAAGAAAUAACACCAAAAAUGUUUUUUUAAAACUCCAGCCAUCACAAAGCCAAGAAACAAACCUCAUGAAUGCCACUAUUUCCCCUUGAGAAAAAGCAACAAUGUCACAAAACGUUGAUAAAAGUGGGUGAAAAGUAUUCUUAAAUGAAGAUCCUGAAGCCUCUGUGUACUUUCUAGUCAUUGCUCCCAUUUGUCUGUUUUGUGAAAUAGUAGUAGUUUCUAUUUAUGAAAAGGUUUAAAAGAAAGCUAAAAUAAUAACUGGUAGAAGCAUAACUUCUAGAACCUUAGGAAGACAAUUUAGCAAUGUCUGUGAAAACUCAAAUUGCUCUUACCUUUGACCAGCAACCCCCCUUGUUGACACCUAUUCCACAGAAAUAUUCACAUUAAAUGUAUAAAGAUAGACGUGGACAAAAAUUUCACUGUAGCAUAUCUUGGAACAGGAGCAAACUAGAGACUGCUAAAUGUCUACUGAUAGGAGAAUAGUUAACAAAUUAUGGCACAUCUAUGCUAACAAAUACUGUGCAGCUGUUAAAAGAAAAUAUAAAUAUUAGAUGUCUACAAGACAGUCUUGUGUGAAAGAAGCAGGCUGCAGAACAAAAUGCACAAUAUUAUCUGUUUUGAAAUAACUUCCUCCAUUCUCUCUUCUUUUUCUCUGCUUUUCUCCUUCCUUUUGCUUUGUGAAUGCAUAUAAAAUGACCCAAAGGAUACACAUUAAACUUUUAUCAGUGGUUACCACCUGGAGAGAGGGUGUGGAGAGAUGGUGAGAACUUUCAUUUUUUUUUUUUUUUUUUGCUUUCUAUAUGCCUAUAUUGUUUGAUAUACACAUAAUGGAUGUAUGGUUGUUUUGUAAUUUAAAAAAGAAAAGAGUGGCUUGCACCUGUAGUCCCAGCUACUUCUUCGAAGGCUGAGAUUGGAGGAUCACCUGAGCCAAGGAGGUGGAGGCUGCAGACGGGAUCUCACCUCCAUACUCUAACCUAGGUGAGAGUGAGACCCUGUCUUUAAAAAAAAAAAA